rnacentral:rRNA from 1 species
UCGUAAGGAGAAGGCUUCAUUGGAAGGAGAGUUCAUCCAUAGCAGCUAUCCGUGAGUUGGGUUUAGAGCGUCUUGAGGCAGUUUGUUCACUAUGGAUAGUCGC